AGACGCAGCUUUCUUUCUGCACGUUGUCACCGGAUCUGCGGCCCCAAGAAGAAGGGACUCAGGUGUGUACAAAAUAAAGAGGCGGCAGAGGCCAAGCGGGCCUUCUUUCACAGGCGAGGGGAAGGGGGUCCUUCACCCUGGCCCCGGGGUGGGUCGCGGUCCCUGACCUGCGACCUCGCUCUGAAAGAAGGGAAUGCCAGGGAAGGAGCCAGCGACGUGUCUGAGCAGAGCCAGAAGCGCACAAGACCCUGCAGGCAAUCAAAGACUCGGCACACUUUUCAAAUAGAACUUAAGAUGACAAGGGAGACUCCAGCCAGCCAGUCACAUGACUUGACUCCAACAUGCCGCACUUUGAAAGCGUUGUGAAACGGCCAAUCAGCGACAAAGACGGGCCUGUCCGCAUGGCGCUCCUGGGAGAUCCCAACCCGAGGCCAGCUGGAGUUUACCCGGGCCGCCGUCCAGCUCACCUUCUGUGUCCCGGGGACUUGGCAGGAGAGAGGGGGUCGGGGAUCACUGGACUUUGGGGGCCGUUUACAAUUUGCGCCACAACGGGGGCUCACAAGGCCAGGCCACCCCCUGCGCGGGCGGCCGAGCCCACCCAACGGCCCUGACUGACGCGCUGAUGCUGUCAAAUGUUUUUCCGCUUGUUUGCGUCCCGGGACUGCGGUCCGCGUGUGUUUGUAUUUUCAAUUUAAUAUGAUGGGAAAUGGCGAAAACAUUUGUGCGAACACCUGCUGUGGACAUUUCUGCUGCGCCAAUCAGGGCGACGGCAGCAAUCCUGAGUUGCGCUCCACCUGGUCAAGGUCGACUCUUCGGAAAAAUGCAAAUGGAGAGCAUAUUUUCAAGUACGAUUGUCCUCAAAAGGGUCACAAAGGAGCUUAGGGUCAAUGUUGAGCAAGAGGUUUGGGUUUUUUUUUCCCUAGCAAGUGGGCUUAUAUUUCAAAUGUCGUCCAUAUUUCUUUUCUUGUACAGUAUUUUGGAAAAUUGCCUCUAAAUGUUGCUAAAGGCUGCAAUGAUCUCAUUUUGGACAUGAGAGCAUGUUGUGCACUUUUAUUUAGUCAUCUCUUCAAGAUUUCAACUCGAGUCACCCACCUGAGCACAAUUACUCUGCCGGAGCUCUGCUCAACUUUGGACCCGAGUCGAGUUGGCGUGGACAUUAUCGUGUCCUCCCAUCUCUGCUUUUCAUCAAGAUCAUCCCGCUGGUGCUCUAUCCCGGCUCUCCAUCCUGGAGAACAAAAGGCAUGUCAAUCAUGAAAACACGACAUUGAUUUUGCAUCAUAACAUUUGGUGGGGCUAUCUACCAUGAAAAGACCUACAAAAAAAAAAAGCAACAUUAAUAUUGGGAGACGUGCAUUUAAUGACUGUUUGAAAGUAAAAUAAUUUGUUGUCUUUUCUUUUUUUUUUUUUAAUCGCUGUUACUUUAAUGACAAAAAGUCAAAAACGGCGCAGAAAUCACAUGACACUACCGAGCCACAUGGUGACUAAUGGCACCGUCCAUACUGAUCCUUCAUGUUUUUUUCCCCUCCUGAUUGCUUUAAAGAAUAUAUAUGACCAAAAAUAAAAAGCAACGCCAAAAGAAAGGCAGGCGGUUAGCUCAGCACUUGGCAGGCGCUCUAAUUAAAACCAAA